UACGAAGGGGGCUAGCGUUGCUCGGAAUCACUGGGCGUAAAGGGUGCGUAGGCGGGUCUUUAAGUCAGGGGUGAAAUCCUGGAGCUCAACUCCAGAACUGCCUUUGAUACUGAAGAUCUUGAGUUCGGGAGAGGUGAGUGGAACUGCGAGUGUAGAGGUGAAAUUCGUAGAUAUUCGCAAGAACACCAGUGGCGAAGGCGGCUCACUGGACCAUUACUGACGCUGAGGUGCGAAAGCGUGGGGAGCAAACAGG
rnacentral:rRNA from 1 species